UACGGGGGGGGCAAGCGUUGUUCGGAAUUACUGGGCGUAAAGGGCUCGUAGGCGGCCAACUAAGUCAGACGUGAAAUCCCCGGGCUCAACCUGGGAAUGGCCGUUGAAACUGGCGAACUGGAGUGUGGCAGAGGGGGGUGGAAUUCCGCGUGUAGCAGUGAAAUGCGUAGAGAUGCGGAGGAACACCGAUGGCGAAGGCAGCCCCCUGGGCUGACACUGACGCUCAGGCACGAAAGCGUGGGGAGCAAACAGG
rnacentral:rRNA from 1 species